ACCUCCCCCAUCCGGCAUGAAAGAAGAGCGAGACAGCGAGUGAGCGAACAAAGGACUACACUCCAAACUCCAGACUCCAAACUCCAAUCUCCCGUCGUCCUACUUUCUACCUGAUCAACCGUCAAACCAAACGUCCAAAUUCGAGCCAACCACAACUCAGAAACGAUGAAAUUCACAGACUCUCCAGUGAUCGAACUCACCGUUUGUAAUACUACCCUCUCUCUCCAACAAGACAAUGGUUCCAUGCACGUCGGCACUUCCGUUUGGCCUUGUUCUCUCGUUCUCGUCAAAUUCAUCGACCGUUGGUCUCCAAUUAACCCCAAAACCCAAAACCCUAAUCCAUACUCCGAUCUCCUCAAUUUCUGCAACAAACGCGGCGUUGAAUUAGGCGCUGGAUGCGGGGCUGCAGGAAUGGGUCUUUUUCUCUUAGGCCUUAGGGAUGUUGUUCUUACCGAUAUAGCCCCUGUUAUGCCCGCCUUAAAGCAUAACUUGAAGAAGAAUAAGCCAGUACUGAAGAAAUCCUUGAAGAGGGCUCAGUUGUAUUGGGCUAAUUCGGCACAAAUCCAGGCCCUUUCGCCUCCCUUUGAUGUUGUUGUAGCUGCUGAUGUGGUGUAUUUGGAAGAAACUGUGAAGCCAUUGGUUGAUACAAUGUUGGAAAUGGUUGCUGAUGAUGGCGUCGUUUUAUUGGGUUACCAGUUGAGAUCACCUGAAGCUGAUAAGCUGUUUUGGGAAGUUUGCAGGGAGGUUUUUGAGAUUCAGAUGGUCCCACAUGAGGAUUUGCAUCCUGAUUAUAAUUAUGAGGAGAUUAAUGUUUAUAUUUUCAGGAAAAAGAAGAAAGAUGUUGGAGACCAAAAAACAGAUUGAAGGGUGAGAAUAAUACUUGAAGGACGGAUGAUAUGUUCUUGAAAGAUGUGUCUGAAGAGCUUGAAGGAAAACAACUUUGCUAGAAAUUAUUGGUUUGACCAGGGUUGAUUCAUUGCUGAAUUUCCAGAACUGGAAUUUUCAUGAACCGGUCACAGAACGUACUUGAGAAAACUGAAAAUAGGCCGAGUCUUGCCUGUUUUGUGCCACCGGGUUUCACUGCCAUCCUCAUCUGUGUGGACCUUCCUCCGUUUUCGUGUCCCGGUUGUGUACGCUUUUGAAGGCCGAUGGAAGAAAUGGCGGACUUGUCCAUCUUUUU